rnacentral:lncRNA from 1 species
GUAAAUUGCCGGUUCUGCUGCACGGAGGGAUAAUCCAGUUAACAGUAUAUUCCAGUGGGAGGAUCCCUCUCGUGCAGCAGUGCCUGAUGGGGGAAAGGCUCUGUAAUGUAAGUUCCCCAUAUAGUCCACUCUGGGAAUACCCCUGGGAUAGGACUCAGGAAACCCCUUGCAUGGGGAAUUGUAUAAAUUGUGGAGCCUGUGAAUAAAGCCUGCAGUUGACUCUCAGAACUGUGUUUCGUCCGGUUACUGGGAGAUUUGGGAUAUUGCCUUGCUUUUCAGCCCUUGACUGUGGAUUACCUUCUGAACCAGCGGAGAUCGUGGGAUUUAAUAUUGCCGCUCCGCUACAGACCCCUUGAGUUUAUUUAUUUUGCGCU